rnacentral:snoRNA from 1 species
AUUCCAUGAUUUGGAUACUUCCUUAUCAACUCCUUAAAUCUGUUCCAUGCCUCAUGAUAGGUCUCCGCAUUUUUCUGUUGAAAAGUUUGAAUUUCCAGUUUGAUUUU